rnacentral:rRNA from 1 species
CCUACGGGUGGCUGCAGUGGGGGAUAUUGCACAAUGGGGGAAACCCUGAUGCAGCGACGCCGCGUGUGGGAAGACGGUCCUAUGGAUUGUAAACCACUGUCACCAGGGACGAAGAUGACGGUCCUUGGGGAGGAAGCUCCGGCUAACUACGUGACAGCAGCCGCGGUACUACGUAGGGACCGAGGGUUGUCCGGAAUUACGGGGUGAAAGGGGAGCGUAGGGGGGGAUGCAAGUUGGGUGUAAAUACUACCGGCUAAACUGGUAGUCGCACUCAAAACUGCAGCUCUUGAGUGAAGUAGAGGCAGGCGGAAUUCCUAGUGUAGCGGUGAAAUGCGUAGAUAUUAGGAAGAACACCGGUGGCGAAGGCGGCCUGCUGAGCUUUUACUGACGCUGAGGCUCGAAAGUGUGGGGAGCAAACAGGAUUAGAUACCCGGGUAGUC